UACGUAGGUGGCAAGCGUUGUCCGGAAUUAUUGGGCGUAAAGGGUGCGUAGGUGGCUCUUUAAGUGGGAUGUGAAAGCCCUUGGCUUAACCAAGGAUGUGCAUUCCAAACUGGAGAGCUAGAGUGCAGGAGAGGAAAGUGGAAUUCCUAGUGUAGCGGUGAAAUGCGUAGAGAUUAGGAGGAACACCAGUGGCGAAGGCGACUUUCUGGACUGUAACUGACACUGAGGCACGAAAGCGUGGGGAGCAAACAGG
rnacentral:rRNA from 1 species